GCUGGGCAUGGUGGCGCAUGCCUGUAGUCCCAGCUACUUGGGAGGCUGAGGCGGGAGAAUCACUUGAACCCAGGAGGCAGGGGUUGCAGUGAGCCGAGAUCACACCACUGCACUCCAGCCUGGGCAACAGAGCGAGACUCCAUCUCGG
rnacentral:SRP_RNA from 1 species